CAAAAACAUCUUUUCUCGUUAGUUUUUGAAGUAUGGCCUGCCCGCUGACUUUAGUGUUGAAGGGCCGCGGUAUUUUGACCGUGCAAAGGUAGCAUAGUCAUUAGUUCUUUAAUUGUGAUCUGGUAUGAAUGGCUUGACGAGGCAUGGGCUGUCUUAAUUUUUAAUUGUUUAUUGAAUUUGGUCUUUGAGUUAAAAUUCUUAGAUGUUUUUAUGGGACGAGAAGACCCUAUAGAGUUUAACAUUUGUUAUGGUCCCCUUUCUGUUUGUGAGGGUUUAUUGGGCCGUUUAAUAUGUUUUGUUGGGGUGAUGGGAGGGAUUAAUUUAACCCCUCCUUUUUAUUAUUAUAUUUAUUUAUAUUUACUUGAUCCAUUUAUUUUGAUAUGUAAGAUUAAAUUACCUUAGG
rnacentral:rRNA from 1 species